GAGUUUGAUCCUGGCUCAGAUUGAACGCUGGCGGCAUGCCUUACACAUGCAAGUCGAACGGCAGCAUGAUCUAGCUUGCUAGAUUGAUGGCGAGUGGCGAACGGGUGAGUAAUACAUCGGAACGUGCCCUGUAGUGGGGGAUAACUAGUCGAAAGAUUAGCUAAUACCGCAUACGACCUGAGGGUGAAAGUGGGGGACCGCAAGGCCUCAUGCUAUAGGAGCGGCCGAUGUCUGAUUAGCUAGUUGGUGGGGUAAAGGCCCACCAAGGCGACGAUCAGUAGCUGGUCUGAGAGGACGAUCAGCCACACUGGGACUGAGACACGGCCCAGACUCCUACGGGAGGCAGCAGUGGGGAAUUUUGGACAAUGGGCGAAAGCCUGAUCCAGCAAUGCCGCGUGUGUGAAGAAGGCCUCGGUGUAAG
rnacentral:rRNA from 1 species